ACACAUGCAGUCGAACGGCAGCAGCAUAAACAAUCCCUUCGGGGUGCGUUUUUGGCUGGCGAGUGGCGGACGGGUGAGUAAUACAUAGGAAACUGCCCAGUAGCGGGGGAUAGCCCGGGGAAACUCGGAUUAAUACCGCAUACGCCCUACGGGGGAAAGCGGGGUUUCGGCCUCGCACUAUUGGAUGUGCCUAUGUCUGAUUAGCUUGUUGGUAGGGUAACGGCCUACCAAGGCAACGAUCAGUAGCUGGUUUGAGAGGACGAUCAGCCACACCGGAACUGAGACACGGUCCGGACUCCUACGGGAGGCAGCAGUGGGGAAUAUUGGACAAUGGGGGCAACCCUGAUCCAGCAAUGCCGCGUGUGUGAAGAAGGCCUGCGGGUUGUAAAGCACUUUCAGUUGGGAAGAAAAUCUUGGUAUUAAUACCACCAAGCCUUGACAUCACCAACAGAAGAAGCACCGGCUAACUCCGUGCCAGCAGCCGCGGUAAUACGGAGGGUGCAAGCGUUAAUCGGAAUUACUGGGCGUAAAGAGCACGUAGGUGGCUUGUCAAGUCAGUUGUGAAAGCCCUGGGCUUAACCUGGGAAUUGCAGCUGAUACUGGCUGACUAGAGUGUAGUAGAG
rnacentral:rRNA from 1 species